UACGUAGGGUGCAGGCGUUAAUCGGAAUUACUGGGCGUAAAGCGUGCGCAGGCGGUCUCUUAAGACAGGUGUGAAAUCCCCCGGGCUUAACCUGGGAACUGCGCUUGUAACUGAGAGGCUAGAGUGUGGCAGAGGGGGGUGGAAUUCCACGUGUAGCAGUGAAAUGCGUAGAUAUGUGGAGGAAUACCGAUGGCGAAGGCAGCCCCCUGGGAUAACCACUGACGCUCAUGCACGAAAGCGUGGGGAGCAAACAGG
rnacentral:rRNA from 1 species